UACAGAGACUGCAAGCGUUAUUCGGAUUCACUGGGCGUAAAGGGUGCGCAGGCGGCCAAGUGUGUUAGGCGUGAAAGCCUGAGGCUUAACCUCAGAAUUGCACCUAAAACUACAUGGCUAGAGCAUUGGAGAGGGUAGCGGAAUUCACGGUGUAGCAGUGAAAUGCGUAGAUAUCGUGAGGAACACCAGAGGCGAAGGCGGCUCCCUGGACAAUUGCUGACGCUCAGGCACGAAAGCGUGGGGAGCAAAAGGG
rnacentral:rRNA from 1 species